UUUAAAAUUUUAGGUCUGGCCCGCUCAAUGAAAUUUAAAUAGCCGCCGUAUUUUGACUGUGCAAAGGUAGCAUAAUCAUUAGUUUCUUAAUUAGGAACUUGUAUGAAUGGUUGGAUGAGAAAUGAUCUGUCUCUAUAUAAUUUAAUUAGAAUUUUAUUUUUAAGUUAAAAAGCUUAAAUUUUUAUUAAAGACGAGAAGACCCUAUAGAGUUUGAUUUUUUUAAUUAAAUGGUUUUUUAAGAAUUUACGUUUUAUUUAUUUAAACUAAUUUUGUUGGGGUGACAGGAAAAAUACUUUAACUUUUCUUUUUUUUUACAUUGAUUUAUGAUUUGUUGAUCCAAUAUUUUUGAUUAUAAGUUUAAAUUACCUUAGGGAUAACAGCGUAAUUUUUUUUGAGAGUUCUUAUCGAAAAAAAAGUUUGCGACCUCGAUGUUGGAUUAAAAUUUAAGGUUGGCGUAGAAGUUAAUCUUUUGAGUCUGUUCGACUUUUAAAAUUUUAC
rnacentral:rRNA from 1 species